rnacentral:tRNA from 1 species
GCCUGGGUGGCUCAGUCAGUUGAGCACCUGACUUCGGCUCAGGUCAUGAUCUCGCAGUUCGUGAGUUCAAGCCCCGCGUCGGGCU